UUCUCAUGUAACAGCUUGUCCUAAAAUAGAGAAUUCUAGAUUCUAGUUAUAUUUUCCCAGCUUUCUUUACAGCCUAUUUAGCACCUAAUAAAUGCUUUGAGAGGUUUAUACAAAAUAUUCAGGAAAAUAUAAGCAAGCAUCUAACCAUGUCUGCAUGUAGAGAUUAGCUGACUAAAGAGGAGAUAAUCUGGAGGUAGAAAUGGAAAAUCAGGCUAUUGUCAAGAAAGGCCUGAACUUCUGUAAGAGUAGGAAGUUUUCUCCUAAUCCUAUAUAGGGUCAGCUCCCCAAAAUAAUGGACACUUUGUUGGGCAUGUAGGGAAGAGCAAGUUCAAGAAUAAGGCAAAAAGUACCUGUGGGGUCCCCAGUGAGGGUUUGGAGGUACAACCCAAAGGAAGAGGAAGAAUGCCUGGGAAGCAUGAGAAGAGGGUAUAUACGCAGAAAAGAGUAAAGAUGGUUACCAAAACUCACUUAAUUCAACUUUUUGGUCCCACUCCCUCCUCCGAAACUAGAUGUAAAGAGCUGACUUAGAGGGAAUUAGGUGGACAUCCUGAUUUAUCACCCCACUUUGGAACAACUGAGGUAGAGGUAGAGGGCUAGUCAUUUUUACUAAUUGGAACCAUUAGCUUCCUACUUAGAAUUCUAAUUCUCUGGAAUGCUUAGAUGCCCAGCCACUUCAGUGUGUGUUCUGAAAGGUGUUUCACUUGAGAAACUUCCUUCAGUCAGUCCCUCACUUACCUUGAAAUCCUGUGCAACCUGGUUUUUACAUCUUGACUAUUUCAUUACAAUUGCUCUCCUGAGUAUUAUCAAUGACUCCCUGCCAAAACCAGUGUGCUUUCCUUAGCCUCGUAAUCUCUCCUGGCCCGUGUACUCCUUAAAGGUAUCUUCUUUUGCUUUAUGUGACAGUGCAUGUUUUCCUGUGCUUCUGUGUUUUUACUUAGGAAGAAUUAAAAAAAAUUUAAAAAUAAUACCAGAAGUACAGAAAAUGAUGUCUUGUUUUGCAUCGUCUUUCUUGUUCUAUAAAGUAACAAGUGAAUGAACAAUUUGGUGUAGAUCCUCCCCAAACUCUGAAAAAAAUUCUUUUACAAAGUAAUUUUUAGGAAUUAAUUGAGAUCACAUAUGUACUGUUUUGCCUGUUUUUUCAUUUACUUUAUCUUUCCAUGUUGAUUAAUGCAAUUAGAUCUGCAUUUCUACCACAGUGUAAUACUUCACAUUACGAAUGUAGCAUAACUUAUUUUGCCAUUCUUUCACUGAUGGAUAUUCAAGUUUCUAAUUAUUCGUAAUUACAAUGUGUUGCAAUGACUGUCCCAGUACAUACAUCUGAGCAAGUUAUUCUGAAGAUUUUACAACUGGAUAACUGCUGGUUCAAGGGUAAUGUCUAUUUAGAAUUUUGACAGAUAUUGCCAAAUUGUCCUCCAUGGGUCGCACCAAUUUAGUCAUUCACUGACAGAGUUUUCAGAGUGCUUUGUUUAGCCAACCUCUUCCAACAUUCAUUAUCCAUUAUCUUUUAGUUUUUAUGUGCAAACAGCAGUCUUCCUGAGUUUGAGUAUCCUUUCUUUUGUUGAUUUGCUUUUGGUAUUUUCAUCAGGUUUUCUGCUAGUUUUUUUAUUGUUACUCUUUCUCACUGACUUAAAUUUUUAGAAGAUAAUAAACAUUAAAUCUAUCUCUGGUCUCAAUUUCAUGGUAACAUGUCUUGUAGCCUUUUAAAUGUUUAUCUAGUAAAUUUUUUUCUCUGUAGCCUCUGGGGCUUGUCUUGCUUAGGAAGGACUUCCUAAGGUUUAUAAAACAAACUUUCUGUAUUUUCUUCUAGUACUUUGUUAGUAUCUUUAAUUCUUUUGAAAUUUUUGUAUAUGAAAAUACUGAAGUCUAUAUUUCUCUAUUUGAAAUGUCACCUCUAUAACAAACAUAUACAUGUGGUUAUUUCAGGCUUCUAGUUUGUUCCACUAAUCUGUCUAGUUCUGUUCCAAUACCACCCUGUUCUAAAUACUCUAGCUUUAUAGUUCUGAUAUGUAUUUGGGUAAGUUCUCAUUCUUUUUUUUCAAAAACGUUUUCGUUAACCUUGCACAUUUAUUCUUCCAGAUAAACUUUAAAAUCAUCUUACCAAUUUCUACUAAAAAUUAUAUUAGAAUUUUUACUUGAAAUGCAACAAAUUCAGUCUGAGGAGAAUCAUAUCUUUAUAAUACUGAGCCUAUUCAUGCAGGGGCACAGCACAUCUUUCCACUUACUUGGAUCUUCUGUAACAUCCAUAAAUGAAGUUUUAUGGUUUUUUUAAUGUCAGUUUUACUCAUUUGAUAGGUUUAUUCCUAGACUAUUUCACCAUUGUUCCUAAUGUGAACGAGAUCUUCCAAAAAUUGAUUAUAUCUAGUUUAUAGGAAAUCUUAACUCUGUAUGUUGAACUCUGUAUGUUGCUGAUAGCUUACCAUCUUACUGAACACGUUAUUCUAACAUUUAAUGACAUUCUACAGUUGUCUUAGAUUUUCCAGGUAAAGAAUGCUAUCAUUUGUCUUAAUUUCUUCCUUUCCAAUUUCAUACCUUAUUUAUCUUAUUACUAUUACUACAAUGGGUCUAAAAUUAUCAGAACAAUGCUGAAUUACAGGAAUGCUAGCAGAUAACCUGGACCAUGACAUUAAAUGUGCUAUUUAUUUCUGGUUGAUACCCUUCAUCCAGUUAGGUAAGCUUCCUUCUAUUACUUGCUUAAUGUGAAUUUUAUUUUCUUCUUUUUGAAUCAGUAAUAGAUGCCAAUUUUUCAAGUACUUUUUUAGUAUCAAUUAAGAUCAUAUAGUUUUUAUCCUUUAGCUAUUAAUGCAGGAAAUUUUCAUUGCUAUAUUGUCUAAUGUUGACCCACCCUUGUACUGGUAGGAUAAAUCCAACUUGGUUCUCACAUUAUUCUUUAAAUGUACUGCUGGCUUCAUAGUUUCCUUAGGAAUUUUUCAUGUAUGUUCAUAAGUAAGAAUGCACUACAAGUUUUUUUUCACUACCCUUGUUGAGAUCUGUGAGGGUUAUGCUACCUUCACAGUUGGGAAGAACUCCACUCUUCUCUAUGCUUUGUUCCUGGUGACUUGUGUCAGGGAUACAUAGGGCAUUCUUUUAUGAUAAGCAGUUUAUUAAGGCUUCCUAACACUUGAGCCAAUUUUUUGAAAUUUAUACUUUCCUAAGAAAAUUGUCCACAUCAAUUUUCAAGAUUAUUAGUACAAGUUUACACUAAAUUCACUUUUGAUUUUCAAAGUCCCUCAUACCUACAAUGUUCCCUUUGUUUCCUCUCCUUUUCUUCCUCAGAUUUGCUAAGUGUCUACUUAUUGUUCUUUUUCAAUACCAGCUACUAUUAUGAUCGACUGAUUUUAUUUUCUAUUUCAUUAUUUCUUUCUUUUUUUUUUGGUGAGGAAGAUCAGCCCUGAACAUCUGCUGCCAAUCUUCUUCUGUUUGCUUGAGGAAGAUUAUCACUGAGCUAGCAGCUGUGGCAAUCUUCCUCUCUUUUGUAUGUGGGACACCGCCACAGCAUGGCUUGAUGAGCAGUGUGUAGGUCGGUGCCCAGGAUCUAAACCUGCAAACCCUGGGCCACCAAAGUGGAGCAGGUGAACUUAACCACUAUGCCAGCAGGCGGCCCCUCAUUAUUUCUGCUUUUUAUUUUUAAUUCCUUUUAACUCUAUUUUGGGAGACUUUACUUUCUCUGCUUUUCUUUUUUUUUUCUUGAGGACGAUUAGCCCUGAGCUAACAUCUGCUGCCAAUCCUCCUCUUUUUGCUGAGGCAGACUGGCCCUGAGCUAACAUCUGUGACCAUCUUCCUCUACUUUAUAUGUGGGACGCCUGCCACAGCAUGGCUUCAUAAGUGGUACACAGGUCUGCAUCUGAGAUUGGACCUGGCAAGUCCUGGGCUGCUGAAACAGGGCGUGCAAAUUUAACUGCUACGCCACCGGGCUGGCCACUACUUUCUCUGCUUUUCUCUUAUCUGUUUCCUUUUCUGAUCUUUCCUGUCAUUUUUGUAUCCUUUAAGGAUGUGCUGCCUCACUCCCUCAGUAAGUUUAUCCACACAACAUAGCAAAAAUAAAACCUUUACCAUUAUUAUAUAAGUGGCUACAAACACUGUAUUAAUUUGGAGUCAGUCAUAAGGGGUUCCAAUUCCCCACCUCCUACUUAUGUGAUGUUGGCCAAAUCUGAGCAGUUUCUUCAUCUGUAAAAAUAGAAAUAACACAGAUUAAGUUUGAAACAAUUACAAAUCAUUUAGCAUAGAAAUUUGCCCAUAUCAAUAACUCAAUAGACGUCUGGUAAGACAAAAGGUCUCAGCUGCCCCAUUUCUAAAGAUGAGGAGAUUGGGAUGACUAAUCCCAAAUUCCCUUGCAACUGUGAAAAACUUUACUUCCAGCCUUUCAGUUCAUCCACUAGACAAUCAGCCGAACAACCCACCUACUCACCAGUUACUAAGCCCUUCCCUUGAACUAAUUAUUCUGGAUGUUAGGAACACCAAGAUGAAUAAUGAUCCAGUCGCUACCUUCCAGGAGCUGAGAGUCCUUGUGGGGAAGGGGUGAGGAUCAACUGUUAAAUAGGUAAUUAUAAUACAAUGUGAUAAGUGGUCUAAUAAAGACUGUGAAUUCAGAGACUGAGUAGUAUGUGUAGCAAAAGCAGAUUUACGUUGGAAACCUAAUUCAAGUACUUACUACUUACUAGCUGUGUAUCCUCAGACAAUUAACUUGGGUGCUUUAUUUCUCUAACUGUAAAAAGGAAUGGUAAUACUAUCUUGGGUAGGUUAUAUUAAGGAUUAAAUAAGAAAACUAAUAUAAAGCACUACCGGACUCAUCAUAUGAACUCCCCAUGGCAGUUAUCAUUAAUAUUACAAGAUGCUAUGGAAAUGAAAAGAAAAGCAAUUUACUCUAUUUCAAGAGAAGAAAGGUAGGGUCAGGACAAUUUCCCAAAUAUGUUCACAGAAGAAAAACCUGUAGAAAGGCAAUAAGGAUAGAAAAAAACAGGAUGAGAGAAGAAUCAAGGUGGGUGAUGCCCUUGAAGGACAGAGAAUGCUAAUUUCUGUAUUCCCAACUUCCAGCACAAAACCUGACCCAUAUAUUUGCGAAAAAUAGUGAAUGGAAGGAGGCACGUUAACCUAUAGGGUGGGAGAAAAAGACUUGGGCCAAACUGUUGAAAGCAAACAUUUUACAGUGAACAGAACUUUGAAUUUGGAGUCAGGAGACGUGGAACAGUCUUUCGACUAAGGACCUGUGUUUUUAUACUGGUUCUAUUAACUUACCCGCUCUUUGGCCUUAGCAAAUUACUGACAGCUUGAAUCUCCUCACCUGUGAAAUGGGGCUAGCACCUACCUUACAAAAUUACUGUGAGAAUUAAGAACCAAGCGACUAUCAAAAGGCUCGGCACUAGCAAGCACUCAAUGAUAGCGGCUGCAGCUGCCACCUUCUCCUUGAGGUCUUUUUCUGUAAUUGUGAAAUGCUGGUAAGAACAGAUGUUCCCCAAUGCUCCAGCCGGCACUGAAAAGCUACACUAGGUUUGCCAAGGACGAAAGGCCCCGCCCGGCCCGCGCCACACAGGUCACCUACGCAGACUGCAGUCCUGGAGCCACCACGUGCGUCGCUGAGCCACGGAGGGCAAGACCGAUGCCACGCCGUUACAGAGACAGGCCCCAGCUAGGUGGGGCGAGAGACCCAGGGGAAGUCCCCCGAAACCCGGCCCGCACCGCCAGCCGAUUCCUCUAGAGGCGAAGCCUUGGAAAGGGUGACGGCAG
ensembl:lncRNA